rnacentral:misc_RNA from 1 species
GGUCAAGGGUCACAGUUAGGCCA